rnacentral:miRNA from 1 species
UGUGGUGCUUGUAUGUAUACAUAUAUAUCUGUGUAUACACACACACACACACACACACACACGCGCACACACACACAC